rnacentral:rRNA from 1 species
GACGAACGCUGGCGGCGUGCUUAACACAUGCAAGUCGAGCGGUAAGGCUCCUUCGGGAGUACACGAGCGGCGAACGGGUGAGUAACACGUGAGCAAUCUGCCCUUCACACAGGGAUAACUCCGGGAAACCGAAGCUAAUACCUGAUACGACCACUUCAGGCAUCUGAUGGUGGUGGAAAGUUCCGGCGGUGAAGGAUGAGCUCGCGGCCUAUCAGCUUGUUGGUGGGGUAACGGCCCACCAAGGCAACGACGGGUAGCCGGCCUGAGAGGGUGACCGGCCACACUGGGACUGCGACACGGCCCAGACUCCUACGGGGGGCAGCAGUGGGGAAUAUUGGACAAUGGGCGAAAGCCUGAUCCAGCAACGCAGCGUGAGGGAUGACGGCCUUCGGGUUGUAAACCUCUUUCAGCAGGGACGAAGCGCAAGUGACGGUACCUGCAGAAGAAGCACCGGCCAACUACGUGCCAGCAGCCGCGGUAACAC